GACGAACGCUGGCGGCGUGCUUAACACAUGCAAGUCGAACGGAAAGGCCCCUCUGGGGGUACUCGAGUGGCGAACGGGUGAGUAACACGUGCGUAACCUGCCCUUGACUUCGGGAUAACUUCAGGAAACUGGGGCUAAUACCGGCUAGGAAUCCUUGCUGCAUGGUGGGGGUUGGAAAGCUUCGGCGGUCUUGGAUGGACUCGCGGCCUAUCAGCUUGCUGGUGGGGUAGUGGCUUACCAAGGCUUUGACGGGUAGCCGGCCUGAGGGGGGGACCGGCCACAUUGGGGCCUGGAUACGGCCCAGGCUCCUACGGGGGGGAGCAGGGGGGAAUAUUGGACAAAGGGCGGGAGGCUGAUGCAGCAACGCCGCGGGGGGGAUGACGGGCUUCGGGUUGGAAACCGCUUUCAGCAGGGGCGAAGCUUGUGGUGACGGUACCUGCAGAAGAAGCACCGGCUAACUACGUG
rnacentral:rRNA from 1 species